rnacentral:rRNA from 1 species
GCUUAACACAUGCAAGUCGAACGGAAAGGCCCUGCUUGCAGGGUACUCGAGUGGCGAACGGGUGAGUAACACGUGGGUGAUCUGCCCUGCACUUCGGGAUAAGCUUGGGAAACUGGGUCUAAUACCGGAUAGGACCGCACUUUAGUGUGUGUGGUGGAAAGUUUUUUCGGUGUAGGAUGAGCUCGCGGCCUAUCAGCUUGUUGGUGGGGUAAUGGCCUACCAAGGCGGCGACGGGUAGCCGGCCUGAGAGGGUGUACGGCCACAUUGGGACUGAGAUACGGCCCAGACUCCUACGGGAGGCAGCAGUGGGGAAUAUUGCACAAUGGGCGCAAGCCUGAUGCAGCGACGCCGCGUGGGGGAUGAAGGCCUUCGGGUUGUAAACUCCUUUCGCUAGGGACGAAGCUUUUUGUGACGGUACCUAGAUAAGAAGCACCGGCUAACUACGUGCCAGCAGCCGCGGUAAUACGUAGGGUGCGAGCGCUGUCCGGAAUUACUGGGCGUAAAGGGCUCGUAGGUGGUUUGUCGCGUCGUCUGUGAAAUUCUGGGGCUUAACUCCGGGCGUGCAGGCGAUACGGGCAUAACUUGAGUGCUGUAGGGGUAACUGGAAUUCCUGGUGUAGCGGUGAAAUGCGCAGAUAUCAGGAGGAACACCGAUGGCGAAGGCAGG